rnacentral:rRNA from 1 species
GUUAGGAAUAUUGGACAAUGGGCGAAAGCCUGAUCCAGCCAUGCCGCGUGAACGAUGAAGGCCUUCGGGUUGUAAAGUUCUUUAGCCGAUGAUUAUAAUGACUGUAGUCGGAAAAUAAGCCCCGGCUAACUUCGUGCCAGCAGCCGCGGUAAUACGAAGGGGGCGAGCGUUAUUCGGAAUCACUGGGCGUAAAGCGUGCGUAGGCGGUCUCGUAAGUUAGGAGUGAAAGCCCAGGGCUCAACCUUGGAAUUGCUCUUAAAACUGCAAGGCUAGAAUCUCGGAGAGGAUAGCGGAAUUUCCAGUGUAGCAGUGAAAUGCGUAGAUAUUGGAAGGAACUCCAGUGGCGUAAGCGGCUAUCUGGACGAGUAUUGACGCUGAGGCACGAAAGCGUGGGGAUCAAACAGGAUUAGAAACCCUUGUAGUCC